UCUUCCUUUCUAUCAUAGCCUGAUGUAGUUUUUCAGGUUCCUUUGGGUCCCCUUGGCUGAGAGUGGAGUCCAUUCGGUCAGCUGGGGGAAUUUAGACUUUUACUUUUGGUUUACAGGUGAAUAACAACAUCAAGAAGAAAAUGGAAGCUAUCAGAAAAGCCUCUACCAUCCCCACCACAUCUACCUGUCUACCUGUGUGUGUUCCUAAACUCCAGCUUCUCUCAUGAAAGAACUCUCCAUGCAUCUGGCUUAAGGUCAUCCCAUCCCUGAUCUCCACUUAAGAGAAUGGAUUAAUCCAAAAGAACGAAUCUUCUCAAGAAGAAACUUUGUCAGCACUCAAAAGAAACAAUGUUUUUUAUAUGUAGUU
rnacentral:lncRNA from 1 species